GACGAACGCUGGCGGCGUGCCUAAUACAUGCAAGUCGAACGCUUCUUUCCUCCCGAGUGCUUGCACUCAAUUGGAAAGAGGAGUGGCGGACGGGUGAGUAACACGUGGGUAACCUACCCAUCAGAGGGGGAUAACACUUGGAAACAGGUGCUAAUACCGCAUAACAGUUUAUGCCGCAUGGCAUAAGAGUGAAAGGCGCUUUCGGGUGUCGCUGAUGGAUGGACCCGCGGUGCAUUAGCUAGUUGGUGAGGUAACGGCUCACCAAGGCCACGAUGCAUAGCCGACCUGAGAGGGUGAUCGGCCACACUGGGACUGAGACACGGCCCAGACUCCUACGGGAGGCAGCAGUAGGGAAUCUUCGGCAAUGGACGAAAGUCUGACCGAGCAACGCCGCGUGAGUGAAGAAGGUUUUCGGAUCGUAAAACUCUGUUGUUAGAGAAGAACAAGGACGUUAGUAACUGAACGUCCCCUGACGGUAUCUAACCAGAAAGCCACGGCAAACUACGUG
rnacentral:rRNA from 1 species